rnacentral:rRNA from 1 species
AUUGAACGCUGGCGGAAUGCUUUACACAUGCAAGUCGAACGGUAGAGGGGGCAACCCCUUGAGAGUGGCGAACGGGUGAGUAAUAUAUCGGAACGUGCCCAGUCGUGGGGAUAACGUAGCGAAAGUUACGCUAAUACCGCAUACGAUCUAAGGAUGAAAGCGGGGGAUCGCAAGACCUCGCGCGAUUGGAGCGGCCGAUAUCAGAUUAGGUAGUUGGUGAGGUAAAGGCUCACCAAGCCAACGAUCUGUAGCUGGUCUGAGAGGACGACCAGCCACACUGGAACUGAGACACGGUCCCAGACUCCUAC